rnacentral:lncRNA from 1 species
CUCCCCCAUCUCCCUCACUCCUCAUUUGUCCAUGUCUUUUAGCCAGAGGGUGAGUCUGGAGGGGGAGGGCUAGGCUGGAGGAGGGGGGCAUAUUGUAGGUGUGGAUUGAUGGACUUUGGCAUGGGUAAGCGGGUCUGGGACCGGACAGGAGAAUCAUAAAACAGUCUAAGGGAUGAGAGGCAGGAGGUGGCCAGACGCAACUUUUAAUGUUCCCCAUGACUCACACUGACUGUCCAUAAUGAGUUUUAUUCACUUCCAUCAUUUGAGUGUCAAUGACGAUCAUGGGCCGGGCAGAGAAAAUGAUUGAAGGAGGAGAGUGUGAGGGGGGGGGCACAUAGAUACACAUGUCCUAUGACCACAAGGCAACCUGCAGUUGACCGCUACAAACAAGGCGAUAAGGAUGGUCACAUUGCAUUAUGACCAGACCAUUGCAAAGUAACCAUAAGUAAGAGUGGAAAGCUGAUUGGAAGGAUGGAACACUGGUCAUUCCUGAGAAAGAAUAGAAAGCUGAUUGUUUGACAGAUUUGGGAUCACUUCAGUCCAAAUGUGUUGAUAAUGGCAUGUCAUUUAGGACUGAAGAAAUCUCACUGUGGGGUAGAUCAACAGCCUUCAUUCCUGAAAACCAUCACUGGUUUACCUUGCCCUUCUCAUUCUCUUUCUCUACUUCCUCUUACUCCUCCUGUUAUUCAAGCCCAUAUUCUGUUUCUUUCUCCACCUUCCUGUCUCUCCAUCCAGGCACAGCUCCCUCAUACAAAGGAGACGGUGAUAAUCCCCCAAAAAAGAGAUCAAUAUCUUCUCAUCCUUUUUAUGUCUCUUCACACUCUCUUUCUCUCUCCCUCGGUCCUCCUCUCCUCCCCACACCUAUAGGCAGGACCCCUUCACAGGCACUCCACAGACAGGCAGUUUAAAGAUAAUAAUCAAUAUUGAUCCAGAGAGAGAGAGAACGAAAGAGAGAAGGAAAGAAAGAGGGAAUAAGGAGGAAGAAGGGUGCGAGGGAGGGAGUGACCGGCCCUCACUCUGUCUGGUCUCUGACACGAUCAAUGAGCUUUAGCGGAUAGAGGAUGGAUGGAGCCUCUGACUGCUUUAGAGGAUAGAGGAUGGAUGGAGCCUCUGACUGCUUCCUAGUCAGUGACACUGCUAAAGAGAUUACACCCCAGGAGCGACACAGCCAUGGCCCACACACUCUCCACCUCUCUCUUUCUGUUUCUCCCUCUAUCUGUCUCUAUUUCUGCCUCUCUCUCGCUAUAUACACUACCGUUCAAAAGUUUGGGUUUCAGAAGAAAUGUCUUUGUUUCUGGCCAUUUUGAGCCUGUAAUCGAACUCACAAACGCUGAUGCUCCAGAUACUCAACUAGUCUAAAGAAGGCCAGUUUAUUUGCUUCAAUCAGAACAACUGUUUUCAGCUGUGCUAACAUAAUUGCAAAAGGGUUUUCUAAUGAUCAAUUAGCCUUUUAAAAUGAUCAACUUGGAUUAGCUAACACAACGUGCCAUUGGAACACAGGAGAGAUGGUUGCUGAUAAUGGGCCUCUAUACGCCGUUUCCAACUACAAUAGUCAUUUACAACAUUAACAAUGUCUACACUGUAUUUCUGAUCAAUUUGAUGUUAUUUUAAUGGACCAUUUUUUAAAUUUUCUUUCAAAACAAGGACAUUUCUAAGUGACCCCCAAACUUUUGAACGGAAAGUAUUCAGACCCCUUGACAUUUUCCACAUUUUGUUAGGUUACAGCCUUAUUCUAAAAUUCAAUCUACACACAAUAACCCAUAGCGACAAAGUAAAAACAGGUUUUUAGAUAUUUUUGCUAAUUUAUUCCAUUUAAAAACAGAAAUAUCAUAUUUACAUAAUUAUUCAGACCCUUUACCCAGCACUUUGUUGAAGCACCUUUGGCAGUGAUUACAGCCUUGAGUCUUCUUGGGUAUGAUGCUACAAGCUUGGCACACAUGUAUUUGGGGAGUUUCUCCCAUUCCUCUCUGCAGUGUUGCUGCACAGCUAUUUUCAGGUCUAUCCAAAGAUGUUCAAUCUGGUUCAAGUCCGGGCUCUGACUGGGCCACUCAAGGACAUUCAGA